GGGGAUGUAAAGGUUUCGACGGGGGUUGUGAACCUUAGUAAGCGAGUAGCGGGGCAGGGCCGCUUUAAAACCUGCAACUUUAAAAUUAAACGACAACAAAACUGUUGCGUACGCAGCCUAAUUAGGCUGCCGUCUUAUCCGGGAACACCACGGCCCGGAAUAAGGCGUCGAUGAGUGGUGAACGUGAAUGCAACGCCGCCUUUGCUUGCGUCAUGAUUUAAGAGGCUACCGUGAUGCAGAACUUGCCGUUGGGUGCUGCAAAGCGGGAAUUUUAAAACAUCGGCUACACUCGUAGAAAGCUUUGGCAGGCGAUUUUCGGACAGGAGUUCGAUUCUCCUCAUCUCCACCA
rnacentral:tmRNA from 3 species